GAAAAUAAAAAAUUAACAUUAAACGUUGAUAAUUCUAGUGGUUCUCCUACCCCAUUCUCUAUCUUGAAAGUCUAGGGGAAAAACAGCCAUCUUCCUGUAGAGUUUCAAUAGUUUUCAGAUCAUAAUGUUAAUAUUUAACAGAAACUGCCCCAUCUCUUAAUUUAUCUUCAGAGAAAGUCCAUCAGUGAGUUAGGCCUUAGGUCACAAAGUGAAGUUUCUUUUUCAACUUGAUUUCAUAGUUGUCAAAAGAAAGCAACUAAUUUUGACCAAAUCAGGGAGGUGACUGAAUUAUCUGGUUUUAAAUUUGAUUUAUGGUUCUGUCUGCUCUACUGAAACAAAAUGGUGGUUGCAUUUUCAAAUGGGAUUACCCUCUCUUAAAUUUUAACAGCUUUUAGGGCAAUUUGGUACAUAUGUGAUACAUAUUCAGAUGCUAUAACAGGCAUGUAAUUGAGUGAAGUCUCUUAUUUCUAGGAAUGCUAGUUAACCUUAAAUUGUUGUCUUUCAUCCUACAGAACAAUCCAAGGUUGUACUCCCCGAAGCCUAGUCAGGCUCUAAUCAAUGCAUUCAAACUGAUUUUAAUAGUAGCCUCAGUAAAGCAAUAGAAGAUAAAACAACUGGGGGGAAAUAUCUUUAAAGUUAUAAAUAAUAACACUUCUAUUAUACUUUUUGGACUGUCCAUGCCAGUGUUAACAUCUUAGGGCAGACAAUUGGAGAAUCUGACCCACAUUCAUACUAUAUUUCAUAAGAUCUAUAAAUAGCAUUCUCUCUUAAAUGCCUGGGAAGUGAAGUUAUCAGUUCUUGUAAAUGAACAACUCAAAUGGGACUUUCAAAUUUGGCAUAUUGACUUUUGAAGCAAAACAAGCUUAUUAUUUGAAUUUCCCAAAGUAUAGUUAAAAGCUCUAGAGUCACAAUUCCAGCUUUGCUUCUGCCCAGCUCAGUGACCUCAGGUAAGUCAAUUAUUUAUUCAAUACCUUAGUUUCCUCAUCUAUCAAGCUGGUUGAAAAUUAACCUGCUCUACUUAAUGCAUGAAGUUGGUGUAAGAAUUAAAUGAGAUAUGUACAGAAAAUAUUUUUUAAAAGACUGAAGUACUAUCAAAAGCAAAUGUUAUUGUUGACUUUAGCCAGAAACACAAAGUAUCCUGUAUCUUGCAACAGGAACACAUUCUUGGCUCUGAUCUUUAUUCACACCAUCAAAAAAUGUCACUUAGCCUGCUUAUCUCCCUGUUGAACUCAUUAGCUGAAUUAUUAAUAGUUCCUCUGAAAUUCAGGUAGUAACUUCUAUUUUAUUUUGCAUUUUUACAGAACCUACCUAUAAGACUGAAAAUGCUAAUUUUAAACAAUAAACAAUAAGCAAAUCAGGCCACUUAAACACAGAACAUAUUGCUUCCCACACUCUGUAUUAGGGGCUGCAAAUAUCAAGGAGACUGUGGUGAACUGAGAAGCGUAAGUCUAGUGUAAAGGGGGCAAAUUCCGAGUCACCUUUAGUCAAUUGCUAUCAUUAAAAAAUUUAGGUCACCAUAGCCAGAUAUUUUGAUUUUUAUGAUUACAAUUUAGACUUUUAUGUAAAAUAUCUUGAUUUUUAAAUGUAGGGAACUGUUUCAAUCAGGAAAAUCUAGAUUACGCUGUAGGGGCAAAUCUUAGUGGUUUUAAACCACAAAGGUUUAUUUUUCAUUAAUGCCAAGUGCCAACUAAAGGCUAACAGAGAGGUUCUGCUGAUUAGUCUCUCAAGGCUCUAGGCUGACUGUACAGUCAGUAUUCAGUGUUGCUGGCCACCACAACACAAGGAGAAGAGAGAGGUCAGGAAGGUCUUGCUAUAGCAAUUAACUGCUGACCCAGUAGUGACAUAACACUUCUGCUCACAAUGCAAUGGCUAACCUAGUACAUGGACCUACCCCCAAACAAAGGCAACAGGUAUAGCUGGCUUAGCAAAUAACACAAUGAUUAUCACCAUUAUUAACUAAAAGAAAUGUAAAGAUUGGAUAAAAGAAAGAGAGACAAAGAAGAAAGAAAGGAAUGAAAGAGGGAGGGAGGGAAGAAGGGAAAGAAAGGAAGGCAGGCAGGAAGAAAGGAGGGAAAAAAGAAAGAAGGGGAAAGAAAGGAGGCAAAGCUGAAAAGCCACAUACAUUUUUGGGUUAAAUUAAGCUAAUGGGCUACCAGUUUGUGAUAUAUACUCCAUAUCCUUUAUUUAAGCCCUGCUCCCUCCACCUCAGAAAACUAUCAUUUGAAUCAUAUGUUGAUUAUUCUCUUCCUUCUCUAAUAGUCAUAUUGCAUCUACAAAUAUUUCUAAAAAGUAUUUACUUAGUUGUUUGACUUUAUAAAAAGGGUUUUGUGCUGUACAUCUGUUUUACUUAAUAUUACACUGUCAAUAGUCAUUCAUAUUGUCUAUGUUUCAGCAGUCAUUCAUUUUGUUGUAUAACAUUUCAUUGUGUGAAUAAACCAGAGUCUAUUGAUCUUCUUCCACUGAUAGACAUUUAGGUUGGUUACAGGUUUUUGCUUUUGUAAAUUUCAAUAAUGUGUCUCUUAUUUUACAUGUACAAGAAUUUGCUUUGGAUAUUAUCUAAGAACUACUGAGUCACAAAAUAUAACUUUAGAAGAAAUGUGAAAAUGCUUUCCAAAGUGUGCUCCCUCUAGUAAUGUAUAAGAUCCUGUGGAUGCACUUUCUCUUCAAUACACGAUACUGUCAGAUGUUUUAAUUUUUGUCAAUCAAAUGGGUGUAAAAUAGUACCUCACUGUAUUCUUGAUUUGUAAUUCUCUGCUCCUUGGUGGUGAUGAGCAUCUCUUCAUAUUUCCUUUUCUAGGAAAUAUCUAUUCAUGUCUUUUGUUGACUUUUCUUUUGUCUUGUAUUUUUUAUAUAUCAGCAGAAAACAAUUAGAAAAUACAAUUAAAGAGAAUAUAUUUCAAUACCAGAAAUUAUUACUUAUCUAGGAACAAAUCUAACAAAAAGAUGUUUAGUACCUCUAUAGGGAAAACUCUAAAAUUUUAUUGAGAAUUUAAACAAGUACUAAAUAAACGGAGACAUAUACCACGUUAGUGGCAAUGUUAAUAAUAUGAAGAUGAAAUUGAUCUAAAGAUUCAAUGCAAUUACAAUCAAAAUUCCUAAUGGGUUUUCCAUUAAAUUUGGUAAAAUUAUUAAAAUUUUUAUAUGAAAAGAUAGAAGGUCAAGAAUACUGGCUGGGUGCAGUGGCUCACACCUGUAACUACUAUACUAAGUAUAGUAAGAAACUAAUUUCUUAAGACAUGGAAAUGUUGGCUAUUAAAAAAAGGUUGACAUAUUUGAAUACAUUAAAAUUAAGGCCUGGAGUGGUGGCUCAUGCCUGUAAUCUCAGCACUUUGGGAGGCUGAGGAAGAAUUUCUUGAACCCAGGAGUUUGAGACCAACCUAGGCAAAAUAGCAAGAUCCUAUCCCUACAGAAAAAAAAAGAAGAAAGAAAGGAAGAAAACUAGCAUGGUGUAAUGGCACACAGCUGUAAUCCCAGCUACUUGGAAGUCUGAGGCAGGAGGAUCGCUUGAGCCCAGGAGUUCAAGGUUAUAGUGAACUAUGAUCGUGCUACUGCACUUCAGCCUGGGCAACAGAGUGAAAGCCAGUCUCAAAAAAUAAAAUACUUUGUUCAUCAAAAAGAUAAAAGUGAAAAGAUAACUUAAAAACUGGGAGAAGAUAUUCAUAAUGUAACUGGCAAAGAAUCAGUAUGAAGAAUAACUCUUCUGAAUAAAUAAUUUAACUAAAAAUUGACAGCAUGUGGCUGUACUGUUUUCUUCCAAUUUUUCAUUAUGAAAUAGACCAUACAUCAAAUAUAUGCAUGUGUUACACUCAUAAACACACACACUCAGUCUUCCAACCUAUAUGAUUAAAAAGAAAGUUUAAGAAAUAAAAUAUGACAGUAGUAGAAGUAACUACUCUUUAAGGAUAGACAUAAUCCUCCUUUUAGAAGAGAGAAUUUAUUUCCUGUCUCCCAAGUUAUAUGACUUGCUUUUGGUAAAUAAAAGUAGGAGUGUCACAUGUCAUUUACUGGUGAAAGGAUUUAAUUGCCAAUGUUCAAUUUUCAAUCUUCUUUUCUUCCUACUAUGGUAAACUCCUACAAGACAGCACCAAAAAACGGAGUGACUGUGCAACACAGUCACCUGCCAAACCCACAUUAAACAUGAAACGAGUGAAAACCAAAUCUUUAUUUUAAACAAUUGACUUAUUAGGGCUAUUUGUUACUUUAGCUUAACUUGUCUUAACCUGAUUUCAUAAAUACCAAUACCUCUGAAAUUCCCUCUCCCUGAUCACAUUCCCACGCCUCCCCACUAUAUACAAUCAUACGUCACUUAACAAAGGGAUACAUUCUAAGAAAUGUGUUGUAAGGCAAUUUUGUCCUUGCGCAAACAUCAGAGAGUGUAUUUACACAAACCUAGAUGGUACAGCCUACUAUAUACUUAGGCUAUAUGGUACAGCCUUUUGCUCCUAAGCUCCAAACCUGUACAGUAUGUCACUAUACUGAAGACUGUAGGCAACUGUAACAACGGUAUUUGUGUAUCUAAACAUAGAAAAAGCAUAGUAAAAACAGGGUAUUAUAAUAUUACCAGACCAUCACCAUAUAUGUGGUCCGCUGCUAACUGAAAUACUGUUAUUGAGUGCGUGACUGUAUAUAUUAUAUAUACAGCUAGCUGAUCCUUGGUAUAUGAGGAUAAUUGGUUCCAGGAUCCCCAUGUAUACCAAAAUCUGUGCAUACUCAAGUCCCACAGUUGGCGCUGUGAAGACCACAUACACCAAAAGUUGGCCCUCCAUAUACUCAGGUUUUGCAUCCCCCAAAUACUGUAUUUUUUAAAUGCACAUUUGUGUAUAAGUGAACCAUCACAGUUCAAACUUGUGUUGUUCAAGGGCCAAGUGUAACUACAUAUACUGUAUUAACAAACAUUUUAAUGCAUGUGGCUACAGUUAAUACUAAUAUAUUCCCACCAGCUGUACAGUAGCCCGCUAGAUGAGUAUACCACAAUUUAUUUAUCCAUUCCCUUGUUAAUGGACACUUUGGUUGUUUCCAACUUCUUAAUAUUAUAAACAAGACUAUUAACAACUUUCUUGACUAUGUUCCUCAAUGCCCAUACAGGGGUCUCCAGAGUACUACUGUCCUUAUUUUUCCUGGCAACCAACUCCAUCUUCCUAAAUUAUUCAAUAAAUUUUUAAAGAUAGAGAACAGCUAGAAAUGGCUUUAAAAUUAAAGGGCCAAAUCCUCUAAUUUUACAAAUAAGGAAUCCAAGGAGAAAAGAUUUAGAGGAAGAGCUGGAAGUUCUAUAUGCCAAUCACUGUGUUUAGCUACGGGUAUACAAGGAGGUUAAGAUAUUUUCCGUCCUCGAGGUGGUCACGGACUAGCGAUUUGGUUUCCACACUACAGUGGGCCUUGAAGUUCAGGUCCUCACCAUCCUCUAUCUACCCCCGGUUGCAAAGAUAUUUCAAAAUAUACUUCUACAUAAUGAAUAUGUUGUUUAAUUUAGAUUUUUAUAUUAAGUCAUCUUUACCCUGGAAAAUGCGCCUCUGCUAACACACAAACUUUGUGAAAUCUUCCCAAGCUCCAUCCAAUCCCCGGCAGAGUGAGGUUCCUCUUGUCUCUGAAGCAAGUUCUUGCAAUAUCUACUAUCACAUAACUUUGUGGUUUGUCUCCUCAUGAGUCUACUGGAGUCAGACCAGAGGCCAGGGCACUUGUACCCUGUAUAUCAAAGUAUGUGAAUGGAUGUUGAAAACACAAAGCAAAAGAAUUUGAGUAUAUCAAGCAACACAGAGUCAGUUAACUACAUAGCUUAGCCUAACCUUUAUGAUAGAGUUUUUAAAGUCCCCUGGACCAGUCAAAAUGUCCCCAGUCGAUAUAAUCUACAUUGGCCCUAUCUUACUAAUUUACUUCUUUUCCCACUUGUCUGCCCUAGAUUAUUCUCAUAUUUAUGCUAAAAAUGCACAAGCUACCAGAGCAACAUCCAAUUUCCCCACAAACGCUAACAAAAGGUUUACUUCAUUUGCUACCAAAAUAAAGUAUUUGAAUUAAGGUACCAAGAGUGAUGUACACUUCUUACAGAAAUUGUGUGUACUACCACGAUAACCAUACAGAUCACUGCGAAAUUUCAACCACAAGCAAAGUGCAAUUAAUAUUACUAAGUUUUCCACCAACAAUCAGCAAACUUAAUUCCUUCCACAACAACAAAAAAAUUGUACAAGCCCAUUCAAUGAUUACUCUAUAAAGCCAGAGAGAGAAGCACAAGGUUAGCUUACUCCAAAGUCAGUAAGACUGUAUGUAUAUAAACAUAUAAAGUCUUCACAUCUACCCUCUCAAAGACCCUUUUGGUUUGCUGAUUCUCAAAAAUUGGGAAGUACUGCAAAAAUCAUCUGGCAACCAGAAGUGAAUGCAACACUCCAGAUGAAUUGUGAAAAGUACCGAAUUUUUGCCUUUAUUCAGACGCCUGUGCUCCUUUUUUCCAACCAUCUGCUUCUAUAAAUUCAUCACAAUUCUAAUACGGUGUGCGCCCCUCCUCCUUCCCUUACCCUGACCCUAACCUUCCAACCGUUGAUUCCUGCAGCAAUCUUCCCUAAGGGAGACACCCCGGCUGUAGGCUCACUUCCUCUCCCAAGUCCCAUUCCUUUCACAAGAGUCAAAUCCCUACAGUGGAUUCCUGGACCGUUUUUUCUAAAAGAAGAUCCCAGUCCUCUGGCUUGCCCCUCCCGUCGUGACUCCCAUAUUUGAUGGGUCUGAAUGAAAAUCUGAUGAAACAGAUGUUACUUGAAGCUGAGUGACUUUCUCAGGGUCAAGCAAAUAAGUAAAUGGAGGAGCCAGAAUUAUACCCCAGGAUCCCCAUCACAAGGAGGGGAGGGCUACCAUCCCAGCUGCAAACUCUCAUUCAAGGUUUAUGCUGCAGCCAGCAGUGUCCUUGGAGUCUAGUUCAAAGCUGAAGAGAGUGAACCAUGGAACUGGGAGCCAUUGGCGGAGAGGCUGGCCUGAAGGAAGGGAAGUGUUUCAGCCAGAAUGUACUGACGCACAACCAGGAAACCACAAGACUGAGUAACUACCAGUUGCCAUGAAAUAAAUCACAUCAUCAUAUGGCAGAUCCAGCUAAUAGCUGAGACUGGCAGGAUAACUGAACCGUGUACUCAGAGCUAAAUGAUGGAGAAAUUGGACUGGCCAUGGAGCACUUCAAAUUGAUUGCUUAGUAAUGGGAUAUUUUUCCUGGAAAGACAACAGAAUACUUCUGAAUUGUUGGUUCUGUCAUGGGUACAGGCUCCCAUGUACAGGAAAAUAAAGAAAGUGUGAUGAAUUUUUCAUCUGGCCUUCUGCCUACUUUCUUGCUUUCUGCAUGUCUCCAUUUUUAGUCUGUAAGCCCUGCCUAGAUGACCAAUCACUAUUGCCCAUGUGGCAUAAAACCUACAAUUUAACUAUACUUCUUACCAAACUCUCAGCAAGUAUGAGGUAGCCAACAGCCUUUUCAAGAUAAUGACUGAGUCUUAGCUUAGGUUUCAGUCAUUUUAGGAAACAUAAAAAAUUCAAUGGUGGGAGAUCAUACACACUCUGCAAAGAUGUCAGAAGUCAAGUUUUGGGAGAGUCCACACACAAACUGAGCAGUGAUGGUAAAAUAUAUUUUUGAAAUAUUUCUCCUCUGUGACUGUUAUGUGAAGUAGAGCAAACACAUUGUGCUGCAGUGCUCUUUGGGACAUGCCUUUUUUGGGAAGUGCUAACUUUAUACUCUGCUGACACCAAACAUUUGAAUAUAAAACCUUAUUUUUUUCUCUCACUCUGCUCCACUUUUGGCUCAGCUUAUUCUACCAAAACACACUUCAAAAGACUUCUUUAUAGAAAGAAUGUUUCAAAAAUAUAAUAUUUCCAUCUGUUAUUUCAAUAAUACAUGCUCUGGGACUCUCUUUAUGAACCACUUUCCUUUCUUUGCUCCCAUUUAGAUGUAUAAAUAUUUGAUUGUAAAGCUCUAAGGAAUAGUCAGCCAAUCGGGUCACUGAAUUGUGAACAUUCCUAACCCUAUAAUUUUGUCUGUAGCAGGCACCUCCUGCUGUGGAACUAACUGCUAAGGGAUUAUAGCAAUGUAAUCCUCAGACUGUUCCAUCUCAAGGUUACUCUGAAGUGGAGGGAAGGAAGCCGUUUUAAUUUUGAUAAAAUAAACUUUAUUUUGUAACUUUAUUAUUUGUUUUUCUUUUUCCUUUCAACACUUCAUAAUAGAUGUGUCUGGUAAUUUGAAGUUAGCCUCUCUGGUUGAGGUGCCCUAAACCACCUCGUAUUAUUGUA
rnacentral:lncRNA from 10 species